GCUGUUGGAAGUAGAGCUGUCUGAAGUAGAGCUGUUAUAAAAAUCUAUUUGCUGUUUGGUAACUACAUUCGUAAAGUGCUGUUGUACUUUAUUUUGUGUUUGGUAAACAAACUGAGAAAGUACUUUUGUAUGACAAAAUUACCAUAAAGGACAUUGCAUAGUAUUAUACAACAGAACAUAAUAAAACAUAACAUAAAUUAAUACAUAAAUAUACGAUAUAGUAUAAUAUUAUUGUAAUAUAAAAUAAUAUUAUGUUAAUAUAGCAUAAUAGUAAUAUAAUUAUUAGA
rnacentral:lncRNA from 1 species